AUGUGUGAGACAAGAAUUAGGUAUUGUACACUUUGUGUGAAAUUUCAAAUUUCCAAGAAGGUUAUCCUAUAUCUUUUUUUGGAGGGAAGGUUAUCCUAUAUAUGGUUAUAUGUGUCAGCCGAGACGCGAGACGUGCACGCACGUGCAAGCUUAGUAGUAUCACAGAAAACCCUUGCUCACAAGAUCACUAGGUAUCAGUUCAAUGUUUUCAGAUGGCUUCAGUUUAGAUUACUUAAAACUCUGAAGCUUGACAUGCAUAUUUGGGGAUGGGAUUUUCAAGUACUAGUUUGGAACUCAAUCUAA
rnacentral:rRNA from 1 species